rnacentral:tRNA from 1 species
GGUUCCACGGUAUAACGGUUAGAAUUCUGGACUCUGAAUCCAGUGAUUCGAGUUCAAGUUUCGCUGAAACUG